GGUCACGUGCAGGAAGCGGAAGCACCUGCCUUCUCUCGGAUUCUCCCAACCUAUCAUAACACGAGUCUGCAUCUGAGAAGACUGGACCUGAGUCUUCUUAGUUUUGUCCACCCUGGUCCAGGGCGAUGGCUCCACCUGGGGAUCCGCGGCGCCUCUGCAGGCUGGUGCAGGAGGGCCGGCUGCGCGCCUUGCAGGAGGAGCUGGAGGUAGCUGGUGGUUGCCGAGGGCCAGAGAUGGCCCUAGGCAGCCGAGGGCCAGCCGGAGAUACCCUUCUCCACUGUGCAGCACGCCAUGGGCGCCAGGACAUCCUAGCGUACCUAGUGGAGACUUGGAGUAUGGACAUCGAGGCUGCCAACCGAGACUACAAGCGGCCUCUGCACGAAGCUGCCUCUAUGGGCCACCGGGACUGUGUACGCUACCUCCUGGGCCGAGGUGCAGUCGUGGACUCCUUGAAGAAGGCGGACUGGACUCCUCUGAUGAUGGCUUGCACAAGGAAGAACCUUGAAGUGAUCCAGGACCUUGUAGAACACGGUGCUAAUCCACUCCUGCAGAACAAGGAUGGCUGGAACAGUUUCCACAUUGCCAGUAGAGAAGGCGACCCCGUGAUUCUCCGGUACUUGCUCACUGUCUGCCCAGAUGCUUGGAAAACAGAGAGCAACAUUAGAAGAACUCCUUUACACACUGCAGCAAUGCACGGCUGUUUUGAAGCAGUCCAGGUGCUUCUUGAGAGGUGUCACUAUGAACCAGACUGUAGAGACAACUGUGGUGUCACGCCGUUCAUGGAUGCAAUUCAGUGUGGCCAUGUUAGCAUAGCCAAGCUGCUCCUUGAAAACCAUGAGGCUUGCUCUUCAGCUGCUGAUAGCCUGGGGGCCCAGGCUCUACACCGAGCAGCAGUCACUGGGCAGGAUGAAGCCAUAAGAUUCCUGGUGUGCUGUCUUGGCAUUGAUGUAGAUGUGAGAGCAAAGUCAAGCCAGCUCACAGCGCUUCACUAUGCAGCGAAGGAAGGACAGACAAGCACAGUUCAAACACUGUUGUCCUUGGGUGCCGACAUCAACUCUACAGAUGAAAGAAAGCGCUCAGCCCUGCAUCUGGCCUGUGCAGGUCAGCAUGUGGCUUGCACCAGGUUCCUCCUACAGUCAGGACUGAAGGAUUCCACAGACCUAACAGGCACCUUGGCCCAGCACCUCACGAGGAGUGUAGAUAUCCUUCAGGACUUUGACCACGAUGUGAAAUCACAGGAUGCUUGAGGAAGGAGGCGAUGGAGUUCAUGGCAGUUCACAUCAUGCUCCUUCAGUUGCCAGCAGAUCAAUCAUGUAAGAACAUUUCCAAGAAGCUGGGCAUGGUGGUGAAAGACCCCCGUGGGGAGACCCCCACUCAAAUCUCGGGAGGACGUGCACCCAAGGAAUCAAGAGAGACCGCCUUGAUGUAAUUACAAGAGGUGUCAUUUUCUGUACCUGAUUGGCUAUAUCCUUCAGUGGGUGAAGAGCUGCUUCCAAACUGCCUCAGGUUCACUUACGCUUCCACUAAAAGGGUAUCCGCAGGUAAGCCCAGCAUCGCCACAUUCAUCCUCCACUCCCAGAAACUGCAGGAUGUAGACUGGGAUCUCAGCUGCAUUCAAGUUGUGUCCUUCCUGAGGACUGAAUAGAUACAUUGUUUGGGGUUGCAGUUGAUACACUUGCAACAAUAAGCAAUACAAAACAAGUCCUGAAGUCUUUAGGGCCUAUCUAUCUUCAGGACUCUGCCAGUUUGUUGGUGAGCCAUUCAUCCUAUUAUCACUUGGCUCAGCCAACUGUCACAUGUUAGACAACUUUAUGGAAUUCAAGCUCCCAGGGAAGGCUGAUUGAGCAGAUGCAGAUGGUCUCUAGUUAGCCAAAAGGAGGAUAUAUGUAGCACUGUGUGGUAUUGUUUCAGACAAUGCCUGGGUGAUACAAUUUCCCUUUAUCCUGCUGCCAGUGAAAUUUCUGACUUCCCGAAGGCUUCGAAAAUGCCAGAUUAGGUCAAUGGAGUGGUGCAACCCAACAUUCUGUAGUUCUAGAGUUAUGCCUUUGAAGGCUACAAUUGUACAGUAUAUCCUCUGAGCCAAACAGCUGUACCCUC